CCAAAGUUCAUUAUUUGCCUGUGUAAUGAUCUUGUCUGAUGUGCAUACAUUAUCAGUAUCUUGUCGCCUUUCAAGAGCUCACAUGCUUUUGAAAGUGAAUAUGAAGAUACUACACAUAACUUGGUUGACUAGGUGAGGGAAUAACCUGAAUGGACAGAAGGUAAGGUCAUGCAGCUGGCUGUGGGCCGGAAACAGUGGGCAGUGACCCUAAUGUCUGCACGGUGCCUUAUGCACACUGGUGGCCACUAUGUAUGAUCCC